ensembl:snRNA U5 U5 spliceosomal RNA
GCACUCUUGUUUCUCUUCAGAUCGUAUAAAUCUUUCGCCUUUUACUAAAGAUUUCCGUGGAGCGGAACAACAGGAGUUUUACUUAAUUUUUUGAUGCCCUGCGUUUGUGGGGCU